GGCGGCGGCGCGGGGCGGGCGGCUGGCGCGGCAGAAAGAAGAAUAGCCGGCCCAUCCGAAAGGACGUCUGCACCGGAACUGAGUACCCACGAGGUCACCUUGAAGGGCCUGCAGAGGAAUCUGAGUCCUGGUGGCCUUAGGCAGCUGCAUUACUGGAUCGAGAUGACCACAGCCACCCCUUUGGGGGGUACUACGUUCUUCUCAUUGAAUGUGACCACCAGAGAAGACUUCCUGUACAAGAGUUCCGGAGCCAUCGUUGCUGCCAUUGUGGUAGUUGUCAUCAUCAUCUUCGCCGUGGUUCUGAUCCUGCUAAAGAUGUACAACAGGAAAAUGAGGAUGAGGCGGGAGCUGGAGCCCAAGGGGCCCAAGCCAGCCUCGCCUUCUGCCUUGGGCCCAAACAACAACAGCAGCCAGCACCCUGCAACUGUGACCUUCAGCCCCGUUGACGUCCACGUGGAGACUCGGUGACUGUCCCCCCACGCUGGUGCUAUUUUGGCCACCGUCCAAAGAGCCUUCUUCAGUCAAGAUCCAGAAGCACAUUUCUCCUCUGGCAGCUUCACUAUGAGAGUUCCUUCCAGGAUUGGGUCAACGGGAACAUCUCUUAUGCAAUUCCUGAUGCUUCAGGCAACCCCCAACCCUGUCUUGCCCUGCCCCACCCUAGCUAUAUCCAUAUCCCUGGUGCCACCCUUCCAAAAGGCUGUGGAAGAUUCUGUUGUGAUCUGAUGAGGUAGAGCUAUGUUGGGAAUCCACUGAAGCGGGUGUGGCUCUCUCCCCCAAGCACAACUGCUAGACAGACAGCCCAGGAGUCUUCUGGUCAGGAGUCAGGGGUCAGCACAUGCUCCCAAGAGUUAUCACAACAGGGUCUGCCACUGGGGUCCUAUCAGAAUAAGUGCUAUAGCCAUAUCUUUGCAGAGCAAAAUGCUCAAUCCCAUUAAUCAGGCACAGAGGAAACUAACUUGGGCUAACUAACCAAAAAACCAACUUGUUAAUGUAGGACUUGUUCUGGUACUAGAUGACCGCUAGCUAGCUUAUGACAACAACCAGUCAGCAGAUUUUGGUUGGGGGAGAAACAAUUCUCCUCAGAAGUUUUCUAUUUCAUUAGCAGAGAGGUGAAGGAAUAGGAUGACCUUGAGGAAUGAUGGCCUCUGGGGUCAAAGCUUAUUGCAGUGUCCGUGGGCCUUGAAUGAGUCUGGAGCUAGUCAGAGCCCCUCCUCUCCCUUUGGGGCGGGAUUAAGCCUGACUCAGUCUCAUUUCUUGGCUUCCCUCUGGUUUCUGAGCAAUCCUCUCUCUCCAGGUAACAUUUCCCUCCAAGGACCAGUAUUAGAGACUGAUCAGAUGACAAUCCUGUUUAUGUCACCUGGGUCCUUCCUGAUAACCUCACAGAGAUUCAGAGCACAUUCAAAGUAUGACAUUUGCAAACCAUUUCUCUCUUUGACUCCUUAGCCUGGAGAACAAUCUACUGAGAGGGGAGCCAUUUUGAAAUUAAGACUUUCCUUCCAAGCCCUGCCUCCUGGUUGUGUGGUCUUGGCAGAGUGAUGCGAGCACUCCGUCUUGGGUUGGCUAACCACGAAGUGGGGAUGAUGACCUCUGCCUCACAAGCUUACUUUAACUAGUCAAGGACUUAGUAGAGCAGCUCGGGGAGUGCCUGGCACUCAGCAGAUGCUUAAUAAAUGAGAGCCAGCAUUAUUGUUACAGUAUUUCUUCAAUGGCAAGACAUAUUUGUUCACAUUUUAAAGAUUCUGAAAUCAGGAUAUGUCUUCAAAUUGAUGGGUCCAUUAAUGUAGUAUUUUUUUCUCUCUCAAAAAGCUGUUUUUAAUCUGUUGUACACCUUACAAUUAAAGGCAUCUUGGAAACAAGGUCAUAAAUCUUUACUCUGUUGCAGAAAGUGACACACUCCGACAUUUAACCUCAAAUUCUAAGAGUCUCUUCCUCUUGGAAUCAGAAAUCUCUUCUGAGGGGAAACUGGGGGUCAGGAAGGUAAGAAGACUGACCCAGGGUCACAGAGUCAUGUCAUCCCACUAUAAAAAUGCUCGCUUGGAUAAGUCUGGAAAAAUACUGGCAAAUACUUCCUACCCCAAACAUCUUUUCUCCCUACUGUGUUUAAAUAUCUACCAAGUAUCAGGUGCUUGGCAAGAUGCUUUCAUGCAAAUUAUCUCAUAGAAUUUAUUUUUCCAAUAACCCUGGAAGGAAUUAUGUUUUCUGUUUGCAGCUGCAAGUUGCAAAUUCAAAGAGAAAAGGACUUGUCCACAGCCACACAGCUAGUUAAGUUGCAAAGACGAGACUCAAACCCAUGGCUCUUUGAACCCAAAGUCCCUCUCUCUGUUGUACCACAUUCUUCUUUAACAUCCUGGCUCAGAGAACAUGAAUUUCUUUUGUGGGCCGAACAUGUGUCUGAGCAAAGGCCCAUGUAUCUCAGCAGAUGUCAGGAGUCUAGCUUCCAAAUUGACAGUAUGGGGCAAAGCCACUUUGGUAGCCUCCUCUGGGCUCCCAUGACUGGAGCCAAAGGCCCCCUCUCUGAGCCCAUCAAAGCUCUAAGGAUUCCUCUUUCAUUUCCCAUAAGUCUAAUCCCCAGGGAGCAAAGGGUGAAAUGGCAUCCAACCAGGAAAAGCUAUUUCCUGAAGGACUCAAAUCCCAAAUAGAUAUGUUUCCAAAAAAUUGUUCUGCUUUAAAAAAAGAAAAAAAAAAUUUUUUUUGGAAUGUUCCAGCCCUAAAACCAAACUCUUCUGUCCAUACUGGAAUCUUCCUGGAAUUAUUAGAGGAAUUAUUCUCUGUUAUAUGUUCUUUUGCUAAAUGAAAGCUUGGAAGUGGAGGAGGGGGGAGAGAGAGAGAUGAGGGGAGGCCAAGAAAGGGGUUCUAGUGUUUUGUUUUUAACUAAUGAAGAUAACUCAGUAAACAUCCUUUGAGGGCACCUAUGUGCAAGGUGAGGUGCUACUAAACACACUGUCACUGUCCCCACUCUCAAGGAGGCUGCAGCUGGUCUCCUGGGACGGGCCUUGCAACACAGGGGAGUAUUUCAUUUCUGACAGGUGCCUUUCCUAACUGAGCAGAUGCUGCCUUAAUUGGCCACUGAAUCAACAAAAGAUACUAAAUGUCUAAA
rnacentral:lncRNA from 1 species